rnacentral:rRNA from 1 species
CAGCCGCCGCGGGAAUACGAAGGGGGCUAGCGUUGCUCGGAAUUACUGGGCGUAAAGGGCGCGUAGGCGGACAGUUCAGUCGGGGGUGAAAGCCCGGGGCUCAACCUCGGAAUUGCCUUCGAUACUGGCUGUCUUGAGUAUGAGAGAGGUGUGUGGAACUCCGAGUGUAGAGGUGAAAUUCGUAGAUAUUCGGAAGAACACCAGUGGCGAAGGCGGCUUACUGGCUCAUACUGGACGCUGAGGUGCGAAAGCGUGGGGAGCAAACAGGAUUAGAUACCCCAGUAGUCCCUGUCUCUUAUAC